CCUACGGGAGGCCGCAGUGAGGAAUAUUGGUCAAUGGGCGGAAGCCUGAACCAGCCAAGUAGCGUGCGGGAUGAAGGCCCUACGGGUUGUAAACCGCUUUUGCACGGGGAUAAAACCCUCCACUUGUGGAGGUCUGCAGGUACCGUGCGAAUAAGGGCCGGCUAAUUCCGUGCCAGCAGCCGCGGUAAUACGGAAGGCCCGAGCGUUAUCCGGAUUCAUUGGGCUUAAAGGGAGCGUAGGCGGGCGUUCAAGUCAGCUGUAAAAUCGCGCGGCUCAACCUCGCACCGCAGUUGAAACUGGACGCCUUGAGUUCACAACAGGCAGGCGGAAUGCGUGGUGUAGCGGUGAAAUGCAUAGAUAUCACGAGGAACCCCGAUUGCGAAGGCAGCCUGCCGGGGUGCGACUGACGCUGAGGCUCGAAGGUGCGGGUAUCAAACAGGAUUAGAUACCCGAGUAGUC
rnacentral:rRNA from 1 species